GGGGGCGAACUGGGUUCGACCGGAUAGUCUGAAGUGUGGGUGGCGUGCCGUGGUUGGUCAGUGGGCCACGUUAAAAAGCUGACCAAAUAUCUUCAAUUGCCGAAGAUAACCUUGCUUUGGCUGCCUAAAUAUAGGCAACCCGAGUUGAUGGCUUUUGUCGGAGAGGCCUGAAAACUCGUCACUAAUUCCGAAUCGCCUCGUGUCACUGCUGGGCACGCUCGAGGUUAAACACGGUUCCCGGCUGGCCUGCCGUGCACCUCGUCGGUUAGGGGUCGGCAGGCGAGACGCGUAAAUCAUCCGACUACGCACGUAGAAGCCCCCAUGGAAAUAUCGCGGGACGCGGGUUCAAUUCCCGCCGCCUCCAUUC
rnacentral:tmRNA from 1 species